GAGUCAGAGGGCUGGAGGAGUGCCUCAGCUGCUGGAUGUGGCUGGGGAUGGUGGUUGUAGAGGUGGGUGGUGCUGAGGGCAAAGCUCCAGCUGAGGGCACGAGCCCCUGUGGGCUUUGGUUUGUCCCUGGUGUGCUUGUGGUUGAGCCUCUUCAGGGCUUGAUUUUUCUGGUAGGUGUUUACUGUAACUUGUAAAAGGAGCAGGAGAUGUGGGCAGGGGUCUGGGUGUGCUCUAAAUUAGUCCUGUCUGUAAUGAAAACAGGCAUAUUAACUAUUCUCUCUACUCCCCAACUUGCCUUGAGACCUUUAGGUCACUGGACCUCUGUUCAUUACAUAGAGGACUAUGAAAUUCACGUAUCUUGUUGUAUGUUUACCCAGCUGGUAGCAGGAGGGGGAGGUUUGCAGUCUGGGUGCAGCCCCCUCCGUGCUGGGAACAACCUGCACUGAUCCUCCUCCAGCUCUGACCCUGCCAGGACUUGGAAAUUGCUGUGCUCUGGGAGCAGCUUUGCUGAGAAUAGGAAUUCAUAGUGUUCAAUAAAUAUUAUUAGGAAACAGAAAGAUAAUAAUUAUGUCAAUUACAGGAUGGGUAAUUGGGCUUGGAAAAGAAAAGUACUUUUCUUCCUAAUUGCUGGGGCCAUGCUACUGUGAUUGCAUGUAUCAGUUCCAAAAAUAAAAGGCCAGCUAUCAAGUGGAGAAAGCACUUUGUUUUUCUAAUGGCAUGCUGUAGCACUGUGCCUGCAAGAGCGUGCUGGGCCAGCCUGCGACCAGGAACUUAAAAGGCCAUCAGCUUUAAAAAAUAAAUAAGGGGGUGAGGAGUGGGAAGCAUUAUCUUCAGGAAUAAGAGCCUCUGCUGUGGUCCUUCUGCUCCCAAAGCACUCGGCACACUGAGCUCUGCCCCCGCUGCUGGGGUUAUCCCAGUGUUUCCUAUGGGGGUUUGGAGGCAACAGGCUCGUUCCCCAUGCCUGGAUUGGACAGGCUGUGUGUUCCCUGGGUUCUCAGGGAGUUUCAGUUGUUUCCACGAAAAAUAAAUACCCCCUUGGCGUGUUUGUGGCAUCGGUUUCUUACUGCAAACACAAGGCUGAAUGGGAAAGGAAGGGAAGACUGAGUUGCUGGUGUUGAAUGCAGAUCUUGUGUGGCUGCACCGGCAUCUCUGACAGCAUAAUCUCCUGCUUGGUGUCAUCAUUAUGGAAACAAGCCGUAAAUCUCCCCCUUGAUGUUAUGUAGAUCUGGGAUCGCUUGCCUCACGGGAACAGCCACUGUUAAGAAAUAGGGUGUUGAACAUAAAGAUUGCAAGCACUAAUUUUGGGAAGGAGCUGCCCUAGCGCCGAGAGCCACCGGUGAUGCUGGGGCUCAGCAUGGGGUUGGCUCCCAGCUCUGGGCGCUCCCCACACCAAAUCCUCUUCUCCACUUCUUGUUCUCUUGCAGAGCCAUAGA